rfam:Hordeum vulgare subsp. vulgare, WGS project CAJW01000000 data, contig: morex_contig_1570009
UAAAUACUUCGUCCGUCCCAAAAUUUUUGUCUUACGUUUAAAUACUAAAACGGGACUAGAUACAUUCAUAUCUAGACAAAUCUAAGACAAGAAUUUUAGGACGGAUGGAGUAUAAG